GAUGAACGCUGACAGAAUGCUUAACACAUGCAAGUCAACUUGAACUUCGGUUUGGGUGGCGGACGGGUGAGUAACGCGUAAAGAACUUGCCUCACAGUUAGGGACAACAUUUGGAAACGAAUGCUAAUACCUGAUAUUAUGAUUUUAGGGCAUCCUAGGAUUAUGAAAGCUAUAUGCGCUGUGAGAGAGCUUUGCGUCCCAUUAGCUAGUUGGAGAGGUAACGGCUCACCAAGGCGAUGAUGGGUAGCCGGCCUGAGAGGGUGAUCGGCCACAAGGGGACUGAGACACGGCCCUUACUCCUACGGGAGGCAGCAGUGGGGAAUAUUGGACAAUGGACCAAGAGUCUGAUCCAGCAAUUCUGUGUGCACGAUGAAGUUUUUCGGAAUGUAAAGUGCUUUCAGUUGGGAAGAAAAAAAUGACGGUACCAACAGAAGAAGUGACGGCUAAAUACGUGCCAGCAGCCGCGGUAAUACGUAUGUCACAAGCGUUAUCCGGAUUUAUUGGGCGUAAAGCGCGUCUAGGUGGUUAUAUAAGUCUGAUGUGAAAAUGCAGGGCUCAACUCUGUAUUGCGUUGGAAACUGUGUAACUAGAGUACUGGAGAGGUAAGCGGAACUACAAGUGUAGAGGUGAAAUUCGUAGAUAUUUGUAGGAAUGCCGAUGGGGAAGCCAGCUUACUGGACAGAUACUGACGCUGAAGCGCGAAAGCGUGGGUAGCAAACAGG
rnacentral:rRNA from 1 species